GACGAACGCUGGCGGCGUGCUAAACACAUGCAAGUCGAACGGAAAGGCCCUGCUUUUGUGGGGUGCUCGAGUGGUGAACGGGUGAGUAACACGUGAGUAACCUGCCCUUGACUUUGGGAUAACUUCAGGAAACUGGGGCUAAUACCGGAUAGGAGCUCCUGCUGCAUGGUGGGGGUUGGAAAGUUUCGGCGGUUGGGGAUGGACUCGCGGCUUAUCAGCUUGUUGGUGGGGUAGUGGCUUACCAAGGCUUUGACGGGUAGCCGGCCUGAGAGGGUGACCGGCCACAUUGGGACUGAGAUACGGCCCAGACUCCUACGGGAGGCAGCAGUGGGGAAUAUUGCACAAUGGGCGGAAGCCUGAUGCAGCAACGCCGCGUGCGGGAUGACGGCCUUCGGGUUGUAAACCGCUUUCGCCUGUGACGAAGCGUGAGUGACGGUAAUGGGUAAAGAAGCACCGGCUAACUACGUG
rnacentral:rRNA from 1 species